UNCCUGAGCAGGAGCCGAAGCAUGUGGUAC
rnacentral:piRNA from 1 species